AUUGAACGCUGGCGGCAGGCCUAACACAUGCAAGUCGAGCGGAUGAAGGGAGCUUGCUCCUGGAUUCAGCGGCGGACGGGUGAGUAAUGCCUAGGAAUCUGCCUGGUAGUGGGGGAUAACGUCCGGAAACGGGCGCUAAUACCGCAUACGUCCUGAGGGAGAAAGCGGGGGAUCUUCGGACCUCACGCUAUCAGAUGAGCCUAGGUCGGAUUAGCUAGUUGGUGGGGUAAAGGCCUACCAAGGCGACGAUCCGUAACUGGUCUGAGAGGAUGAUCAGUCACACUGGAACUGAGACACGGUCCAGACUCCUACGGGAGGCAGCAGUGGGGAGUAUUGGACAAUGGGCGAAAGCCUGAUCCAGCCAUGCCGCGUGUGUGAAGAAGGUCUUCGGAUUGUAAAGCACUUUAAGUUGGGAGGAAGGGCAGUAAGUUAAUACCUUGCUGUUUUGACGUUACCAACAGAAUAAGCACCGGCUAACUUCGUG
rnacentral:rRNA from 1 species